rnacentral:rRNA from 1 species
UACAGAGGGUGCAAGCGUUUAAUCGGAAUUACUGGGCGUAAAGCGCGCGCAGGCGGCUAUCCAAGUCAGUGGUGAAAGCCCGGAGCUCAACUCCGGAACUGCCAUUGAAACUGUUUAGCUUGAGGACGAGAGAGGUGAGUGGAAUUCCCAGUGUAGAGGUGAAAUUCGUAGAUAUUGGGAGGAAUACCAGUGGCGAAGGCGGCUUCCUGGCCUGUUCUUGACGCUGAGGCGCGGAAAAGCUAGGGUAGCAAACGGGG